rnacentral:tRNA from 1 species
AUUACUUUAAUAUAUUAGUAUAUUAAAUUUAGAAUUUAAUUAAAUGAUUAUUAAAAAAUCAUAAGUAAUA